UGAAAAGAACCCCGGGAGGGGAGUGAAAUAGAACAUGAAACCCUAUGUUUACAAGCAGACAAAGCACUUUAUAUGUGCGAUGUCGUACUUUUUGUAGAACGGUCCAGCGAGUUAUUGUGUAUGGCGAGGUUAAGUAUUACGUAAGGUACGGAGCCGAAGCGAAAGCGAGUCUGAAAAGGGCGAUAUAAGUCAUGCAUAAUAGACCCGAAACUGAGUGACCUAUCCAUGAGCAGGAUGAAGCUAGAGUAAAAUCUAGUGGAGGUCCGAACUGAUUGUCGUUAAAAAGGCACCGGAUGACUUGUGGAUAGCGGAGAAAUUCCAAUCGAACUCAGAGAUAGCUGGUUCUCCUCGAAAUAGCUUUAGGGCUAGCCUUGAGGGAAUGCAUAUGGGGGUAGAGCACUGAAUGAGGUAGGGGCCUAACCAGGUUACCAAACUCUAUCAAACUCCGAAUACCAUAUGUAAAUACUCAGGAGUCAGACUGCGGGAGCUAAGUUCCGUGGUCAAAAGGAAAACAGUCCAGAUCGUCAAUUAAGGUCCCAAAGAUAUAGCUAAGUGGAAAACGAUGUGAUUUUGCAUAAACAACCAGGAUGUUGGCUCAGAAGCAGCCAUUCAUUCAAAGAGUGCGUAAUAGCUCACUGGUCGAGUGAAGUUGCGCGGAAAAUUACCGGGGCUAAGCUAUACACCGAAAUUGCGGAUUUAUAUUUGAAAGACAAUGUAAGUGGUAGAGGAGCAUUCUGUAGUAGGAUGAAGCAUGACCGUAAGGACAUGUGGACGAAGCAGAAGAGAGAAUGCUGGAAUAAGUAGCGAGAGGAUGGUGAGAAUCCAUCCCGUCGAAAAUCUAAGGUUUCCCAGGGAAGGUUCGUCCGCCUGGGGUAAGUCGGGACCUAAGGAGAGGCCGAAAGGCGUAUCUGAUGGAUAGCAGGUUGAAAUUCCUGCACUACGAAUAUACUUAAAAGAUUCAAGGGACGCAGAAGUGGAAGAUAACCAAGUAAGAGGAAAAGCUUGGCUCGCAAGAGGGAGUGAAAAUUAAAAGUAACGAAGUAUCAAGAAGCACGCUGACGAGAAAAGCUUGAAGAUAUUGUAUAUAAGUACCCGUACCGCAAACCGACACAGGUAGAUGAGGAGAGGAUCCUAAGACGAGCGGGAGAAGCAUUGUUAAGGAACUCGGCAAACUAACCCCGUAACUUCGGAAUAAGGGGUGCUGAUGUAACAGUCAGUCGCAGAGAAAAGGCCCAAGCAACUGUUUAACAAAAACAUAGGUUUCUGCUAAAUCGAAAGAUGAAGUAUAGGAGCUGACGCCUGCCCAGUGCUGGAAGGUUAAGGGGAAGGGUUAGAAGUAAUUCGAAGCUCUGAACUGAAGCCCCAGUGAACGGCGGCCGUAACUAUAACGGUCCUAAGGUAGCGAAAUUCCUUGUCAGGUAAGUUCUGACCCGCACGAAAGGCGUAAUGAUUUGGGCGCUGUCUCGACAAUGUCCCCGGCGAAAUUGUAGUACUAGUGAAGAUGCUAGUUACCUGCGAUAAGACAGAAAGACCCCAUGGAGCUUUACUGCAGUUUGAUACUGGGUUUCGAUGAUUUAUGUACAGGAUAGUUGGGAGACUAUGAAAGAGAGGCGUCAGCUUCUCCGGAGUCGUUGUUGGGAUACCAACCUUAAGUUAUUGAAAUUCUAACUUGUAAUCGUAAACCGGUUAGAGGACAAUGUCAGACGGGCAGUUUGACUGGGGCGGUCGC
rnacentral:rRNA from 1 species